rnacentral:rRNA from 1 species
UGGGGAAUCUUCCGCAAUGGACGAAAGUCUGACGGAGCAACGCCGCGUGAGUGAUGACGGUCUUCGGAUUGUAAAGCUCUGUUAAUCGGGACGAAUGGUCGGUGUGCAAAUAGUGCAUGGACAUGACGGUACCGGAAUAGAAAGCCACGGCUAACUACGUGCCAGCAGCCGCGGUAAUACGUAGGUGGCAAGCGUUGUCCGGAAUUAUUGGGCGUAAAGCGCGCGCAGGCGGACUAGCCAGUCAGUCUUAAAAGUUCGGGGCUUAACCCCGUGAUGGGAUUGAAACUACUAGUCUAGAGUAUCGGAGAGGAAAGUGGAAUUCCUAGUGUAGCGGUGAAAUGCGUAGAUAUUAGGAAGAACACCAGUGGCGAAGGCGACUUUCUGGACGAACACUGACGCUGAGGCGCGAAAGCCAGGGGAGCGAACGGG